rnacentral:piRNA from 1 species
UGUUCUGCAGCUGGAAACCCAAAGGAUGGGA